UCUGUCUCAAAAACAACAACAACAACAACAACAACAAAGUGUUCUUUAUAUCAGUCAUGCUACAGUAUGAAAUUUUGAUAUUUAUACAUUAUGACAAUAUGUUACUUUGAAAAGUAUAUCUUCUUUGGUAGUUUCAGUUACUGUUAUUGUUUUGGAAUAUAAUAUAUCAGACAAGAAGUAUUUACUUUAACCAAAACCCAGCUGACAAUUUCAAAAUGUUCUAAAAAUGUUUAUUGAUAUGUUGAUAAUGAUACCAGUAAUAGUGACUGAUAUCAUCAAUGUUAUCACCAACAUUGUUCAGUAACAAUAGGAUAUGGUAAAAUGUGAUAUCUGUGUUAUGAAAAGCUAUAUAGGCAUACUUUUAGAGAUAUUGUGAGUUCAGUUCCAGAUCAAAGUAAUAAAGCAAAUAUUGCAAUAAAGUAAGUCACUUUUUUUUAGUUUCCCAUGGCAUAUAAAAAUUACACUUACACUAUAUUUUAGUCAAAUGUGCAAUAGCAUUAUGUCCAAAAAACAAUGUACAUACCUUCAUUAAAAAUAUUUUAUUGCUAAAAAAUGCUGUCACAGAGGCAGGAAGUGAGCAUAUGCUCUUGGAAAAAUGAUGCCAAUAGACUCGUUUGAUGCAAAGUUGCCACAAAUCUUCAAUUUGCAAAAAACACAUUCUCUGAGAAGUGCAAUAAAAUGAAACGCAAUAAAACAAGUGUGUGGUGUGUGUGUGUGUGUGUGGUGUGUGUUCAGAGAGAUAGGAGUGUGCAAUGGCAAGAAAACUCAAUUUAAAGCAAAUUUGGAUAGAGACCAAAUAUAUAGUAAUAGAAUGUGUGUUAUUAAAUAAAGUAUUGACAUUGGCUCAUGCUCCUAGAAGUCUAUUCUCAUUAUUAUGAGAGCUACUCUUUCUUCCAUUAGAUUGAUGAACUGCUGAAGGAAGAAAAAGUAAAUUCAUCUCAGUAAGUGAAAAUCAUUUCAUCGAGCAUGAAUUUUUGGGGUCCAGCCCCACACUAAAAUAGUCACAGGUUGAAUACCAAAUGGUCUCUAGCCUAGGCCAUUCUCAGUCAAAGGCAAACAUACAAUGCUUGUUCAAAGGAAGAAAUAUUAUUACCUGAAAUUUAACAAAGAUCUUGGAAAAUAUUUAAAUAGGCUAAAGGGACUUCUAAUUUUUUUUCCCUCGAGUACACAUGUUGUUCUGAAAGGUCUUCGGGCUGACAUUGUCUGUUUACUUAUUGAUUGCAUCUUUUUCACUGUGCCAACAGCAUUCCAGCCUCAGGGAUCAUUUUCCAAUGUAGCUUUUUAAAUGUUUUUAAUUAGGACAUGGUAAUGUAUUAAAGGCAGGCAGAAACUGAAAAGUAGCUAUCUUUCUACACACACCUUAGGCAAACACACACUUCAAAGACAUUCCCUUCUGGUGCCCCAGUUUCAGUCUCCCUCUUGCUGCCCUGCCCCUCUUCAGGAACCCUUGGUUUCUGUUGGAGUUUGGGGGCAGGGUGAAAAAUCAAUAAUCCAGCCCUCAACUUCCAAUUCCAUGCAGUUAAGAACUUGGCAAAAUGAGCAAGCAGAGGAUCAAAGAGUGAUAUCAACUUUAGCAGUGGUAAAGCUGGAUUGGAUAACACUGCACGUUCCAAGCACAAUAUCAGCUUUAGGUAAUGGGACAGAGAGCACAGGGUUCUUUAUUAAACUUCAGGAGAUACAACCGGAGCUACUUCCCUUCCGCUUUAUGUCUGCACUGGGGACUCACUGGACCAGGACUUACUAGCCAUCUUGAAGUAGAGAGACAAGAACGAGAGACCUGGCAGGACCCACCUGUAACAAGCUGAUCGCAUGGGGACACAAGAGAGGCAUGUACAGCUCCUAGGAGCACUUGUGAGGCAGGAGGGUCUGGAGGCAGGGAAUCUAAGGCUGAUUCAUGCUGACUUCCUAGAACUAAAUCAAAAGGAAAACCCCAACUUCCCACACCCAAGUGCUCAAGUAACAAAAGGACCAGAGGCUACUCCCUUUGCAACACCUCUCCCCUGCCGCCCUUUUUCUGCAUCACAGGUGAAAAAAUGAAAGUACCUCUGAUCGGUCCCCUCUCACAGGUUGGUUGUGGAAAAAGUCUUUAUUUGCAUAGGAGUAUUAAUUGGUCACUCUCCACAACCAAUCAGCUGUUUGCAUUCUGAUUGGUCCCUUCCAACCUAUCAGACUGAUCACAGGCCACUACUUCAUAUACAUAGGGUGUACACCAAGUAACCAAUGGAAACUUCUAAAGGGUAUUUAAACCCCAGAAAUUUCUGUAACUGGGCCCUUGACCUGCUUGCUUGCCCACUGCCACCCUGUGGAGUGUGUUUUCAUUUUCAAUAAAUCUCUGCUUUUGUUGUGUCAUUCUUUUCUUGCUUUGUUUGUGAGUUUUGUCCAGUUCUUUGUUCAAAGUGCCAAGAACCUGGACACCCCUUCACUGGUAACACUUGGGUCUGAGAGAGCUAGAGAAAAAGAGAAAUGACUCAUCAACACUUAACUGUGUGAGAUAAAGAAAUUUGGGAGAGUGAGUAUCAAAUUUUCUCCAGUCUCACCAAUCAGAAAAACCAUCUUUCUCCCAAGAAAAGAGAUGAGUGAGCAGGGAAGGGACGGGCUGUGGUACUUUUCUCAAGCAGGCUGUAAUUCUAAAUACACAUGGAGAAACAAUUAUAUUUCAUUUAUCCACUAAAAAUAAUACAUACGUUUUAUUUUUCCCCCUUUCAUAUCAAGCACUGAUUCGAGAUGACCCAGAAAUCCAAAGAUGGAAACAACUUUACUGAGGCCUGAAGGAAGUCCAUCUUCUUUCACAUAAAACCCACUCGAGAAAUAACAGGAAAAGAGAGAGAGAAAGCAACAGACAUGAGCAACACAAAGAGAACCAAGGUUCAAACUUGGUCAAGAAACUGGCUUAUACUUUCCAGGCAUUAUUACAAUCCAUGAAAUUUACAGAGAACCCGCUAAUGACUAUGCACACCAGUUCACUUCAAAAGUCUUUAUGGGAACAGACACAACGAUGGAAGAGGACUAAGGUCACCUAGGGCUCUGCUCUGCCUCAUCCUCACUCUGGGACCCAGGCUGAGCGGGCAGCUGCUGUCUGAGCAUUGCUGAUUGCCAUGGCAGAGGGAAAGAAAAAAGAAAAAAAUUUCAAGCUAGGCCUAAAAACUUUGGUCCAGAUAUACAUGGUUAUCGAGAACACACAGAGACAGAGAAGACCCUGCGAAGACAGCAGCAAAGCCUGGAGUGAUGCAGCUCAAGUUAAGGAAUGCCAAAGGCUGCCAGGCUAGGAAGGCAGGAUUUUUCUCAGGAGCCUUCGGAGAGGGCGUGGCCCUCAGAAUAGUGAGAGAAUAAACUUCUCUUGUUUUAAGCCUUCUGUUUAUGGUAAUUUGCUAUGGUCGUCCUAGGAAACUAACACACCGGCCCGAGUGAGUCCCACUGCCAUACCUGAUUUCAAUGGCACAGGGAAGGACAGUCUCAUAGUACUGGAUAGUCUCUCUCAGAUCCACCCUCUACCUUUCUAUACUCUGCUCUGAGCCUGGAAAGUUAAAAUUCAAGAACUGCAUAAACAGACUCCCCUUUCCUCUGGCUCCUGGUUAAGAUUUGCCAAUAGUGGGAGUUCAGAGGGAGUGAGGAGAGUGAAGUCAUCUAGUUUGCCACCUACUUCCCUGCCAGGCUGGUUGUAGCGGUGUUCCACUAUGGAAGGCCACAGCUCCAGCCAGGCAGCUCCUCCUUCAGUUUCUCCUUUCUCUCGGGGUUCUAGUAACUUGUUUCUUCCCCAUACUCCUCUAGGCGCAGGGUGCAACAGCUGUUGUUAGCCAACGUGCUCUGUCAUUCCUUGUUGGUUUCCCAUUGCCCCACUCACAGCCUUGUAAACAGUCCUUUUAUUAAUCUCUUCUCAAUAACUUCAUUUGAGCAUGCCAUCUGUUUUCUGCUGAGACCCAGCAGACACACAUACCAUGCACCCAGGAGGAGCCUUAGAAAUCUUUGGUGGACACAGGGACGACCUUGCUAAAUUGAGAAGCAGCUCUACUGAAACAAUCGUGGGAAAUGCAAUGAGAGUGGCAGGUCAAACGAUGGCUUUGCUUCCACCCCUCCCUCUCUGACAAAGGAAGAAGUGUGAGCUCUGAAGCAAGAUUCAAACCCUGGCUUCCCCGUUUAUCAGGUGUAAUAGGAACCUCUCUGAACCUCAGCUACUAUACGUGUAUCGUGGGUAUAACAAUGUUUCCUUUACAAGGCUGUUACGUGGAUUAUGGGAGAAAAAUAUGAAAAGAACCUAGCUAUGAUAGGCAGAAUAAUGUCCCCCAAAGAUUUCCAAGCCCUAAUCUCUGGGAACUUGUGAAUACGUUACUUUAUGUGGCAAAAGAGACAGUGUGGAUAUGAUUGAGAUUACAGACCUUAAAAUAGGAAGAUUAUCGUGGAUUAUCAAGGGGGCCCCAUCUAAUCACUUGAGCACUUAAAAGCAGAAGUGGAAGGCAGAAGAGUUUGUCAUAGAGAUGCAGCACAGGAAGCAGAGACAGAAGAAAUCCAGGGUGAGAAGAAUUUAAUAUGCCACUCCUAGCUCUGGGUGUGCAGAGACUACCUACAAUGACUCAAAAGAGGCCUCUAAAUACCAAGGGAGAUGCCCAGAUGGCAACCAGCAAGGAAACAGACCUCAAUCCUACAGACAGUGAUUUCUGCCCACUACCUGGAUUAACCUGGAAAUGGACUCUCCCCUAGAGCCUCCGGAAGGGAAAGCGGCUCAGCGAAUGCCUUGAUGUCAGUCUUGUGAGACUUGAAACAGAGAAACCAGCUGAACCUACUGGACUUCUGACCUACAGAACUGUGAGAUAAUAAACGGGUGUUGUUUUAAGCCCCUAAA